CAACAAGCAGCCAAUAUUUCUGGCUUUCAAACGCUACUGAAGGUCACUACACAGGUGAAACCAACACGCCUCAAUUAAGGUUAUGCUUUAACCACAAGUGUAUGAGGUAUUUUCAAAGGGGCUAAGCAGUUCUUACAAAAUUUAGAACCUUUAAAGGUAACCCAGAGAAAGGAAGAUUUAAGAAAAAAACUAGAAGUUGUUCAUGGAGGGGAAGAGAAUCAGCAAGUAGCAAAAGUCACACAGAUAUCAGUCCAAAAGUACUCAUUCCCUAAGUCAGGUUUGAACCUGGCUGUUACUAUAAAACGGUGGAGGCUAAACAAAACAUUGCUACAUGGUUACAGGUCACUCUCCCGAGGAUGUAAAACAAGAUGGAGGCCUGCAGCAAAGUUUGCUACUGACCUUACAGAAAGUCAUGCAGAGCACACCAAAUUGGCUACAGCUUAAGACCAACCUGACAAAUCUUUUUUUAUAAUUAAAACUUUACAGAGAAUAUAAACAGUGAUAGUUGGGUCCUGGCCUAGUAAAACUUUUUCUAAAAAGAAAAAAAAAGUGUCACAUAAAAGUUAACUUCUGACAGGGUAAAGAAAAACAAGUUAAAGUUCAGGGUUGGAAAGAUGCCUGGGGUAAGAACCUCUUGUUCUUUUUUUUUUUUUUUUUUUUUUUUUUUUGAGAGGGAGUCUCACUCUGUCACCCAGGCUGGAGUGCAGUGGCGCCAUCUCGGCUCACUGCAACCUUCGCCUCCCAGGUUCCAGCUAUUCUCCUGCCUCAGCCUCUCCAGUAGCUGGGACUACAGGUGCAUGCCACCAUGCCUGGCUAAUUUUUGUAUUUUUUUUAGUAGAGACAGGGUUUCACCAUAUUGGCCAGGCUGGUCUCGAACUCCUGACCUGCUGAUCCACCCACCUCAGCCUCCCAAAGUGCUGGGAUUUCAGGUGUGAGCCAGCACGCUCAGCCUAAUCUCUUAUUCUUAUGCCAAUGGAUUCCUCUAACAGGGAGAGAAACUUACGGGAGAUGGGGAGCCAUCGGUUCACCCGUGCACCCUGAAAAGAGAAGGAAAAGGAAAAGGCCGACAUUCCUGACCCCCAGGAGUGAUGUGGGGGAAGGCAUAAUUUCCUCCACUCUCCCAACAUAUCUGAGCACAAAAAGGCUUAGAAGCGAAAGGAAAAAAGAUUUUUUCUUUGCAUGUUACUCACCUUUCCUCGAGCCCCAUAUCUGGAUGCCAAAAAUGUUGCAGAACUUUCUCCUUAGUUCAGCUAAAACUGGCCUCUUGUCACACAACCAGGAAUGAUUAGGCUUGUGGAUACAUAGAAGGGUGAGGAAAAUGGAACUUAUUGGGUGGAAAGGAAAAAGGAAAAAUUAACUCAGCAAAGCGAGAGUCCUGCUAGCAGGUUUCCUGCCUCACAAAUUGAUUCUCAGGUCACCACACAGGAACAGGAGAGGCCAGGCUCCUACCCCCUACAAAUGGUAUGAACUUCCUGAGGCUCCACCCUGUCCUCCCAGUGUGCAGGUUGAUGAAUUAUACCAGUGUGUGGCAACUCUGGCCAAAUGUUAGAAUCACCUGUGGGAGCUUCAAAAAUAAUGCCUAUGCCUGUGCCCUAAUCCCAGACGAAUUGAAUCAACAUCUAUGGAAGAUGAUCCCUGGAUAUCAGCAUUUCUCAAAGCUCUCCAACAGAUUUUAUAGAGUAGCUUAAUUUAAGGUCCCAUAAGGGAAGGAAACAGCAAACUCAUAUCUUUUAGUGCGACUUUCAGAAACAGAAUGCAUUGCCCAAGUAGUUUGCCACUGGUUCCUAUGCUUAAGGCAAAUCCUAGGUAACAAGCAUGUGAAAUUUACAUGCCUAACUGCUCUUUUUGAGUUUUCUAACACUCCAAGAAGUUUUAAAUGUAUCUAAAUGUUUCUCCGAGAAUCUUAGGAAUUCUAUCACUGCCAGUACAGAUAGUCAAGUCUUAGGAAUGUAACUAAUUUCUUUCAUUCUCUGGUCUUCCAACAAUCAUGUUAAUUUAUAAAAAAAAAAUGCAUUAAAGAGAAGUACAUGGUCGCAAU
rnacentral:lncRNA from 1 species